rnacentral:rRNA from 1 species
GAAGCUUGCUUCCCUGAUACUUAGCGGCGGACGGGUGAGUAACACGUAGGCAACCUGCCCUCAAGUUUGGGACAACUACCGGAAACGGUAGCUAAUACCGAAUAGUUGUUUUCUUCGCCUGAAGGAAACUGGAAAGACGGAGCAAUCUGUCACUUGGGGAUGGGCCUGCGGCGCAUUAGCUAGUUGGUGGGGUAACGGCUCACCAAGGCGACGAUGCGUAGCCGACCUGAGAGGGUGAUCGGCCACACUGGGACUGAGACACGGCCCAGACUCCUACGGGAGGCAGCAGUAGGGAAUCUUCCGCAAUGGGCGAAAGCCUGACGGAGCAAUGCCGCGUGAGUGAUGAAGGUUUUCGGAUCGUAAAGCUCUGUUGCCAGGGAAGAACGCUUGGGAGAGUAACUGCUCUCAAGGUGACGGUACCUGAGAAGAAAGCCCCGGCUAACUACGUGCCAGCAGCCGCGGUAAUACGUAGGGGGCAAGCGUUGUCCGGAAUUAUUGGGCGUAAAGCGCGCGCAGGCGGUCAUUUAAGUCUGGUGUUUAAUCCCGGGGCUCAACCCCGGAUCGCACUGGAAACUGGGUGACUUGAGUGCAGAAGAGGAGAGUGGAAUUCCACGUGUAGCGGUGAAAUGCGUAGAUAUGUGGAGGAACACCAGUGGCGAAGGCGACUCUCUGGGCUGUAACUGACGCUGAGG